rnacentral:lncRNA from 1 species
UUAUUUCAGAAUGAUGUAACUUUUUUUUACAUUAAAAUAAGAAGAAUAAUUCCAUAGGUAUAAGGAAUUAUUGGCUGAAAUGAUACAGGUGCUGCAUUGACAACAUCUCUAUGGUACAUUUUUCUGUGUUUGUUGAGUCAAAAAUCAAACAGUAAAUUAAUGAUAGAGUACAUUGCUUAUUAAGCCCUAAUGCAAACUGAAAAUAUACCAUAGAAAGUUGGAAGCCCUAGUUAAACGUCAGAUAAACAAUUUGAUUUAUGUAAUGCUACAACUCAAAGUCCAACACCAUAACCAAGUUUGCAUCUCUAGUUCUGUCCACAAGCUCGAACAAACAUGGCUACAAAGCAUAGGCUAUCCCAAGUCAGCAACAUACCUCGACUAUUAUUAAUAAAGGUUGAACUAGAGAUUUCAAUGCUCGAAGAAUCACAAUAACCCAUACAACAAGACACACAAGGUCGAAUUAGAGAGUUUGCUCAA